rnacentral:rRNA from 1 species
AGAGGCUUCGGCAAUGGGGGAAACCCUGACCGAGCGACGCCGCGUGGAGGAUGAAGGCCCUUGGGUUGUAAACUCCUUUCGUGGGGGAAGAAUGAGCACGGGGUGAACAAUCCCGUGUUUUGACGGUACCCCAAGAAGAAGCUCCGGCUCACUCCUUGCCAGCAGCCGCGGUCAUACGGGGGGAGCAAGCGUUGUUCGGAAUCACUGGGCGUAAAGGGCGUGUAGGCGGUUCGGUAAGUGGGAUGUGAAAUGCCCCGGCUCACCCGGGGACCGGCAUCCCAAACUGCUGGGCUUGAGUACAGGAGAGGGUGGGGGAAUUCCUGGUGUAGCGGUGAAAUGCGUAGAUAUCAGGAGGAACACCGGUGGCGAAGGCGCCCACCUGGCCUGCUACUGACGCUGAGGCGCGAAAGCUAGGGGAGCGAAC